CAGCCCUUGACAUGGGACGUAUGGGGUCCGGAGACGGGCUUCUUCAGUUCGGCUGGCGUCCACACAGGUGCUGCAUGGCUGUCGUCAGCUCGUGUCGUGAGAUGUUGGGUUAAGUCCCGCAACGAGCGCAACCCUCAUCUUCAGUUGCCAUCGGGUUAAGCCGGGCACUCUGAAGAAACCGCCGGUGACAAGCCGGAGGAAGGCGGGGAUGACGUCAAGUCCUCAUGGCCCUUAUGGGCUGGGCUACACACGUGCUACAAUGGCGGUGACAAUGGGACGCGAUGGAGCGAUCCGGAGCCAAUCUCAAAAAGCCGUCUCAGUUCAGAUUGCACUCUGCAACUCGAGUGCAUGAAGGUGGAAUCGCUAGUAAUCGUGGAUCAGCAUGCCACGGUGAAUA
rnacentral:rRNA from 1 species